AAGUUACACACUUUUAGAAUGUUUCCAAAAAUUAUUCACAACAUUCUUGAGGUUACAGAACUACUUACCAUUUCUGGCUGUCCUUGGAGAAGAGACCCAGGAUGAUUCAGCCAAGCCGCAGGCAGACACGGUUUCAUAGAGUCUUUGCUGGUGUUAAAGGGAAGCCCUGACUCCAGGCCUUUUCCAUAGGGAUGUGAUUUGCUUUUAAGAGCCAGACAGAUGCUACAAAUCUUUCUUCCCAAGAAAAAAACAUUCUGAGGUUCCUCUCAACAAUUGAACACACCCAAGCUAGGCUGCUGGAGGAAUGUAAGGGACAUGUAGACAGAAUCAGCCACUGACAGCCAGUCAACCCGACAUGCAGGUGAUGUGGGAGGGGGUGUGGACUUUGGGAGGUGGUAAUACCUUUACAAAGAAGGCUCCAGAGAAACACCUUGCCCCUUCUAACAUGCAGGGGCACAGCAAUAAAGCACUGACGAUCAACCAGGAAGAUGGCCCUCAUCAGAAUCUGACCAUGCUGGAGCCUUCAUCUUGGACUUCUCAGCCUGCAGAAUGGUGAAAAAUAAGUUUUUGUGUUUUAUAAGCCACCCAGUCUAUGGUAUUUUGUUAUAGCAGCCCAAAUGGACUAAAAUAUGUGCACUCUUGAAACUAUCACCAAAAUCAACACAAUGAACAAAUUCAUCACUCCAAAAAAAUAUCCUCAUACUGUUUGUAAUAUCUCUCACUGGACUCAUCCCUGUCCCUCUCAAGUUUAUGGACAACAGUGAUCUGCUUUCUGUCCCCAUAGAUUAGUUUGCAUUUCUUACAAUUUUAUAUCAGUGGACUAAUACAGUAUGGACUCUUUUUUGUCUUUUACUCAGCAUUAUUAUUUUGAGAUUCCUCCAUAUGGUAGUGUGUAUCACUAGUUUAUUCUUUUUUUAUUGCUAUGUAAUAUUCAAUUACAUGGAUAUACCACUUUUGUUUAUCCAUUAACCUAUUGAUGGCAUUUGGGUGGCUUCUAGUUUUUAGCUACUAUAAUAAAGCUGCUACAAAUAUUUA